CUUUCUUUGCUGGCGACCGGCGCACGGGUGAGUAACACGUAUCCAACCUGCCCUUUACUCGGGGAUAGCCUUUCGAAAGAAAGAUUAAUACCCGAUAGCAUAAUGAUUCCGCAUGGUUUCAUUGUUAAAGGAUUCCGGUAAAGGAUGGGGAUGCGUUCCAUUAGGUUGUUGGUGAGGUAACGGCCCACCAAGCCUUCGAUGGAUAGGGGUUCUGAGAGGAAGGUCCCCCACAUUGGAACUGAGACACGGUCCAA
rnacentral:rRNA from 1 species